GCCAGCAUGGUGUAGUGGUUUGAGCACUGGACUAUGACUCUGGAGACCAGGGUUUGAAUCCCCAUUUGACA